AGGAAAUCAACAUCCCCAAGGCACAAAAUGAUGACCACCUAAGACCCUUCUUCCUUUUCUUUACCCUCUCUUUCUGGUCCUUGAAAGUGACCGUUUAUGGUUUAUUAUUA